UACGUAGGUGGCAAGCGUUGUCCGGAUUUACUGGGCGUAAAGGGCGCGUAGGCGGCAUGGUAAGUCAAAGGUGAAAUCCCUCGGCUCAACUGAGGAAUUGCCUUUGAGACUGCCAAGCUUGAGGCCGGGAGGGGGUAGCGGAAUUCCCAGUGUAGCGGUGAAAUGCGUAGAUACUGGGAGGAACACCGGUGGCGAAGGCGGCUACCUGGACCGGAUCUGACGCUGAUGCGCGAAAGCGUGGGGAGCAAACAGG
rnacentral:rRNA from 1 species